ACACCACAGGGCGCUCCUCAGCUCACAGCUACAAGGAUAUUGGUUAAACCGGGAGCCUUCGACCCCUCCCCGCGUCCCUCGGGGCCGCCAUCCCCUCAGACACCACAAGCAGAAGGGACCCCGGCACCGUGCCCGUCGCCCGCCGCCAUGUUGCCUCCCUCCCCACCUACCGCGGCGCUUCCCGCGCUCGAGCUGAGGGAGGAGGGUCGGCCGCCAUCUUGGAGGCGGCAUGGCGGUGAGGGAGAGCUCUGUUCUCUCACAGCGCCGGAGCUGGAGGCGGUGCUGGGUGUUAACAGCCGUCUGGGGCAGGUCUGAGAGGAUUUUGUUUUAUCCUCUGAGCUGUGUUAUAAACGAGCUGUCUUUGCAACAAAAGUUGGUGUGAUGCCAAUGUUUCUUUCCAUUGCUGAGCACUGUGGACCUUACUCUCUGUCGCAGAAUAUGCUGGCAACAGUCCUGCUUCUGGAGCAUUACAUAAGAUUUCACUAUCCUGAGCCUGUAUCCCUCAUUGCCCUGAAGUGCAGCUUCCUGAAAGCUUCACUGUCGUAAUGGCUUUGCUCGAUUCCUGGUUAACAUCCCAUUCUGCUCUUCUCAUGCGCCAAAAGGAUUUGCAGGAAUAAGCACCUGGACUGCCAUCCUGUGACCUGCAGGUGACUCAGUACAAAAUGAGACAA